rnacentral:rRNA from 1 species
AGGUUCAAAUUAUUAUGGGUUUAUGGGGAAUGCCUUGGCGUCAAAAGCCGAAGAAGGGCGUAGCAAGUCUGCGAUAAGCCUCGGUUUGCUGACUAGCAAGCUUAGCCGGGGAUACCCGAAUAGGAAAACCUGAUCAUAUGAUCAACCUUUUUUAAAGGUAGGUAAGCAGGAGAACUGAAACAUCUAAGUAUCCUGAGGAAAAUAAAUCAAACGAGAUUCCCUGAGUAGCGGCGAGCGAAAUGGGAUCAGCCUAAACCGUGUGGGAUUUAUCCUGUGCGGGGUUGUAGGGCACUUUUUAUAAAAGUUACAAAAUGACAUUUUAGUAGAAUAGAUUGGAAAAUCUAACCAUAGAGGGUGAAAGUCCCGUAAACGAAAAGAUGUCAACUUUUUAAGUGUUCCUGAGUACGACGGGACACGUGAAAUCUUGUCGGAAUCCGGGGGGACCACCCUCCAAGGCUAAAUACUUUUGACGACCGAUAGUGAACUAGUACCGUGAGGGAAAGGUGAAAAGAACCCCGUGAGGGGAGUGAAAUAGAACUGAAACCGUAAACCUACAAACCGUGGGAGCUUGUUUUAUAUGAGUGACCGCGUGCCUAUUGAAGAAUGAGCCAACGAGUUACUUGAUAUGGCAAGAUUAAAUAGUUAAGCUAUGAAGUCGAAGCGAAAGCAAGUCUGAAUAGGGCGAUUUAGUCGUGUCAAGUAGACCCGAAACCGUGUGAGCUACCUAUGGCCAGGUUGAAGCGAGAGUAAAAUCUCGUGAAGGACCGAACCCGUGUACGCUGCAAAGUGCUGGGAUGAGCUGUGGGUAGAGGUAAAAUGCCAAACGAACACGGAGAU